rnacentral:tRNA from 1 species
GGGCGGGUAGCUUAGUUGGUGGAGCACACGACUGAUAAUCGUGCGGUCAUGAGUUCAAAUCUCAUCCUGCCCA